GUGAAUCAUCAAAUUUUUGAACGCAAAUUGCACUCCCUGGUAUUCCGGGGAGUAUGCCUGUUUGAGGGUCGUUAGAACAAAAAUCGAAGCGUCGCUCUUUUUUUUUAAGGUUGACGGCGUGGGAAUUGAGCCGCCUUUCAAAUUUUAUUUAAUGUAAAAGUGGCUGGAAAUUCAUCAAUCGGGUAGGAUUAAA
rnacentral:misc_RNA from 1 species